rnacentral:rRNA from 1 species
CCAGACUCCUACGGGAGGCAGCAGUGGGGAAUAUUGCACAAUGGGGGAAACCCUGAUGCAGCAACGCCGCGUGAGUGAAGAAGUCAUUCGUGAUGUAAAGCUCUAUCAGCAGGGAAGAAAAUGACGGUACCUGAGUAAGAAGCACCGGCUAAAUACGUGCCAGCAGCCGCGGUAAUACGUAUGGUGCAAGCGUUAUCCGGAUUUACUGGGUGUAAAGGGAGCGCAGGCGGCACGGCAAGCCUGAUGUGAAAGCCCGCGGCCCAACCGCGGGACUGCAUUGGGAACUACCGGGCUGGAGUGCAGGAGAGGUAGGCGGAAUUCCUAGUGUAGCGGUGAAAUGCGUAGAUAUUAGGAGGAACACCAGUGGCGAAGGCGGCCUACUGGACGGUGACUGACGCUGAGGCUCGAAAGCGUGGGGAGCAAACAGGAUUAGAUACCCGAGUAU